rnacentral:rRNA from 1 species
GAAUUUAUUCAUUGGUCAGGCUUAACUGUCUGUACUGGUGUGUUGAAUUCCUACCUUCUGAGGAAUCUCCAUGUCAUUCACUUGGUGUGGUGGGGAAUCAGGACUGUUACUUUGAAAAAUUAGAGUGUUUAAAGCAGGCUAACGUCUGAAUACAUUAGCAUGGAAUAAUAAAAUAGGACGGCUUGGUUCUAUUUUGUUGGUUUCUAGGAUCACCGUAAUG